AUAAAUGAAUCAGCAUUAAUUUUAUGUUACUUUUUAGAUAGGGUAAGAUAACUUGUGGUGGUUGGCCCAGAUCUUUUUAAAAAGAAAUCCAAGAUAUCAGCAAAUAUGUCUUUACUUUCUGCUUAUAAAUAUCCAUAUAUAGUCAUUGAAAAUCUCUCCACAGAGCAGAAGAGAGAAUUUAGUGAAUGAUUUUCAAGAUGAUUGUAAGAAAAAAAUAUUACAAUGACCAUAUUUCCAGGUGAGAAAGCAAAUGAAAUUGAUGAAGAUAGAAUAUUUGAUUGGAACAGUGCGGAAAAUGUUGGGUUAUGAAUGGUAUUGCUGGAGGUCAGUGAAAAUUAUAAUUUGAAUUUAGUCUUGUUUAUUUUUAUUAGCCAUGGUAUCGUAUCUACCUCUAUAACAUUCAGUUAAAUCUGUAGUUAACUAAAAGUUCAUUUUAGUCAAAAGUUUAAUAAAAGUUUAUUUUAGUUUCUUUUAAGAAAAUAUUGAUGGACCAUUGUUAAGUAAUUUGAGUGGAUAAUGUAUUAUAAUUACCUUUAAUAGGAUAUGAAUCAUGCAAAUAAUGAAUCAGAUCAUUAUUGCCUUCAAUUCUUUCAAGAAAGCAAAUUAUCUUUUUUCUUUUUCUUUUUCUUUUUUUGUCUUGUGUCUUUUUAGGGCCACACCUGUGUCAUAUGGAGGUUCCCAGGCUAGGGGUCUAAUUGGAGCUACAGCUGCCGGCCUAUACCAGAGCCACAGCAAUGCCAGAUCCAAGCCACGUCUGCGACCUACAGCACAGCUCACAGUAAUGCCAGAUCCUUAACCCACUGAGUGAGGCCAGGGAUUGAACCUGCAACCUCAUGGUUCCUAGUCAGAUUCAUUUCUGCUGCGCCAAGAUGGGAACUCCGCAAACUAUCUCAAAAUUUAUUAAGCAACAUCCAAAACUACUGUGACUUCUCUGGCAGUUUUCAGGGGCCUGCCUCCCAGAUUUUGUACAUCUAAUUGGUGUUGUACAGAGGUCAUUUUUAUGAGAAUGUAUGAUUCCAAAAAUGAGUCUCAAAAGAGAAUUCUUAUAUUUCAGAGAAAUCAAUAUGUAUUGUUUAUAAAUAAGUGAUAUAGCUAUUAAAAGAUGUUGACUGGAAUUAUGCCUAUAUGUAGAUUGCAUUUAAAUGCUUUACCUGGUUAUAUGACAUAGCAUAUGUAAACCUUUUUUUCCUCUCUAAAAGUACAUAAACUCCUAAGCACAUAAUUUGUCGCUUUAACCAAUAUCUGGAGAUAAACUAUUGCUGGAAUAGCAUGAGCCACAUGAUUGGGUAGAACUACACCUUUCACCCUUACUUUUAGUUCACACUGUUAAGAAAUUUCCAGUAAAUAACUUUUGUCAACCCAUUUAGUAUGGAGCCUUUGCAUUUUGAACAUUGUCCAUUUUGUUAAGGAAUAUUAUGGCAACUAUUUUUUUAAAAAAAUACUUCAGUAAAUAAACUCUAAAGUUGAAAUUGGAAUUAUUUGUAUUUAAUGUUUUCAUGUGUCAAAAAGUUUUAAGGACAUAACUCAUGGUAUCUCUCUAGUAAAUCAAGAGUCAGUGUAUUUUUAAAGCACUUAACUUUUCACAGAAUGACUUUUACUUUUUCCAGAAUAGGUCAAAAUGGGAAAAAAAUGUGAUUAUUUUUAUCUAUUAUCCAGUAAACUGUAAAUAUUCUUUCUUAAACCAUGCCUAGUACAUCUUAACAAAGAAAGAAGAAAUGAAGAGAGAGAGGCAAAGAGGGCUCUUUUGGAAAUCUGCUUUUGCAUCACAUUAAGAAUUAACCUGACGAAGUUCCCAUCAGUCAUGGUGCAGUGGCAACUAAUCUACCAGGAAGCAUAAAGUCACUGGUUUAAUUCCUGACAUCACUCAGUGUGUUAAGGAUCUGGCAUUGCCCUGAGCUAUGGUGUAGGUUGCAGAAGCAGCUCAGAUCUGGUGUUGCUGUGGUUGUGGUGUAGGCCGUGGCUAUAGCUCCGAUAGACCCCUAUAUGUCAUGGGUGUGGCCCUAAAAAGACAAAAAGACACAAAAAAAAUUAACCUGAGACUUCUCUGUUCAUUCUCUGAUGUCUAUACACAAAAUACAGAUAUUCAUUUGUAUCUGUAGGAUAAUAUGUCAUAAUAUAUCAUUCCAACAUAGAAACAGUUUGGAAUACUAAGCAUGUCUCCUCUCUCACUACCAUUAAUGAUAUCUGGGUCUACCACGCAGACCUCAUGGCAUGGCCUUUAUCAUGGCCAUCGUCUAUUAGCUGUGCCUGAAAUCUGGACCUUGCUAGGUCCCACUGCUAAAAAUAUGACAGCAAAAGGAACAGAAUUUAUCAUUCUGCAACAGUGACCAGUGUAGCACUGGGUACAGUUUUGCUUUUACUUACUAAGCUGUAAAGUUUUGGAUUACAUAUAGCACAUAUAUUCUGUGCUAUGUAAUAUCAGAACAGCUGAUAUGAGUAGUGAUUAUAAUAAGGAUCAUAAUAUCUACCACUUAGUGAAUGAGCACAAAUACCAGGCACUUGGCCAAGAUCUUUUAAAUUAUUAUCCUCCGUUUAUUACAACAGCUUUGGAUGGUAAUAUUAUUCUGCCUAUUUUGAAGGAAGUAGAGGUUAAGUAACUUUGUAAGGAGUAUAUCUAGUAAUUCAACUCCAGAUCAUUAGUCACCAGAGUUAUUCCUCUUUCCAAAACUCCCACACUUAUGUUCAAAACCACUAUAGUCACUGAAGCAUUUUUGAGUAGUCACUACCAUAAAAGACAUUUGGAGUAGAGUACAUGUGAGUUCCCAGAUUUAUUUGGAGAACCACCAUUAAAGUUUUCCUGUGGAAGUCCUUCUCCUUUCUUUAUUAAAGUCAUUUUAUUUUUAACAUCAUUAUUCUAGGAGGUGGAUCAAAUAAGAUUUUGCUGUGAUUUAUGUCAGAGUGCAUUCUGCCCAUGUUUUCCUCUAGGAUUUUUAUAGUCUCUGGCGUUACAUUUAGGUCUUUAAUCCAUUUUGAGUUUAUUUUUGUGUGUAAAGUUAGAAAAUGUUCUAAUUUCAUUCUUUUACAUGUAGCUGUCUAGUUUUUCCAGCACUACUCAUUGACGAGACUAUCUUUCUUCCACUGUAUGUUACUGCCUCCUCUCUCAUAGAUUAGUUGCCCUUAGGGUCUUGGGUUUACUUCUGGGCUUUUUAUCCUGUUCCAUUGAUCUACGUUUUUGUUUUUAAUGCCAGUACCAUACUGUUUUGAUGACUGUAGCUUUGUAGUAUAGUCUAAAGUCCGAGAGCCUGAUUCUUCCAUUUCUAUUUUUCUUUUUCAAUGUUGCAUUGGCUAUUUGGGAUCUUUUGUGUUUCCAUACGUUUUAAAAUAUUUUGUCCUAUUUCUGUGAAGAAUGUCAUUGGUAAUUUGAUAGGGAUUGCACUGAAUCUGUAGGUUUCCUUGAGUAAAAAUAAACCAAUGGGACCUAAUUAAACUCAAAAGCUUUUGCACAGCAAAGGAGACCAUUAAAAAAUGAAAAGACAACCCAGAGAAUGAGAGAAAAUCUUUGCAAAUUAUGCAAUGACAUGGGCCUAUUCUCCAAAAUAUACAAACAGUUCAUAUAAUUCAACAACAAAAAAACAAACAACCCAAUCAAAAGAUGGACAUAAGACCUAAAGAGACAUUUCUCCAAAGAAGACAUAUGGAUGACCAACACGCACAUGAAAAAAUGCUCGGCAUCACUAAUUAUUAGACAAAUGCAAAUCAAAACUACAAUGAGGUACCACCUCACACUGCUCAGAAUGGCCAUCAUUAAUAAGUCAACAAAUUACAAAUGCUAGAGAGGAUGUGGAGAAAAGGGAACCCUCCUACACCAUUGGUGGGAAUAUAAAUUGAUACAACGACUAUGGAAAACAGUAUGGAGAUACCUCAGAAAACUAAAUAUAGAGCUACCAUAUGAUCCAGCAAUCCCACUCCUGAGCAUAUAUUCAGACAAAACUUUCAAACAAAAAGAUACCUGCACCCCUGUGUUCAUUGCAGCACUUUUAAAAAUAGCCAAGACAUAAAAACAACCUCAUUGGGUGUUCUCAUCUUUGCUCAGCAGAAAUGAAUCUGACUUGUAACCAUGAGGAUGCAGGGUCAAUCCCUGGCUUCACUCAGUGGGUUGAGGAUCUGGCAUUGCCGUGAGCUAUAGUGUAGGUCACAGACAUAGCUUGGAUCCCAUGUUGUUGUGGCUGUGGUGCAGGCCAGUGGCUACAACUCUGAUUCAACCCUUAGCCUGGGAAACUCCAUAUGCCAAGGGUGCGAGCCUAAAAAGACAAAAAAAAAAAAAAA
rnacentral:lncRNA from 1 species